AUUACUUAACAUCUUUGCACAUUUCAGAAGGAGAGACAACUCUAAAAUUCAAUAAUUUUCAUGACAUGCAAACUCAGCGUUGAUACAACUGCUU